rnacentral:piRNA from 1 species
UGAGCCCCAGGGAUACAGGUCAUUGACCUCC